GCUGGGCAUGGUAAUGCAAGCUUGUAAUCCUUGUGACUUGGGAGGCUGAGGCAGGAGGAUGGUGAGUUCAAAGCCAGGCUCGGCAACUUAGCAAGGCCCUAAGCAACUCAGCAAGACCCUGUCUCUA
rnacentral:sRNA from 1 species